UCACACCAACUUUAUAUCUCCAAAGAAAAGUCAAUUUGAAUGAGCAGGUCAUGUACUAUGUACUCAUGUACAACGGGUUCUUCCUUCCUUCCAGAGACUAAAGAUUCUUUUGGACUUUCUAACCGUUUCCACUGUGUCAGACACACACAGGUUUUGGCUGCGUGACUCGCACGGUGCACUCCACUGACCAUCAGAGAUCCGAGCUGUCAGGCCUGUGACUGGACACUAUCACAACACAGACUUGCACUUGAGUCAGUCACAGCUGGAGGCAGAGGGUGUUAACUUCGCCAGCCUGGUGACUGACACAGGAUGUGGACCAGCUCUAAACGCAGACGGCUAUAAAUGUCGCCGUCCCAUGUUGACACUGGAAUUGGCAGCCGUCUGUCAGCCUCUGCUCAUCUGACCUCCUUUCUGAUGGAUGUCUAUAGGGAUCUGGAGUCUAUCCCAGCUACCGAGGGGCACCAGGGACACUCCAGUGAUUCACACAAUAUGGAGAGUCAGCCACAAAAAACAAGGCAAUUCGACCAAGGUUUAACCUCUCCCAGUACAUAGUAAUUACAUGUUAAUAUAGACAACUAUAUUGUAUUAGAAAUUGAAACAGGGUCACACAAAAAGACAUGUAUUUACACAAAUUGGCUUCAACAUUACACGCUCAAAUAGUGCUCUACAUUCUGUCCAAAUUCGCCUCCAUUUCAUUCCAAUAUUUGGAGUUGGUCAUAAUUUUUUGUGCAAAAAGAGAGAAAACUUUCCCAUGCACAAGAUGCACUUCUGAUCUUGUGUAGAUGCACAGACUGUUUCAUACGGGCAGAAAGAA